CUUGGUCAUUUAGAGGAAGUAAAAGUCGUAACAAGGUCUCCGUAGGUGAACCUGCGGAGGGAUCAUUACAAGUGACCCCGGUCUAACCACCGGGAUGUUCAUAACCCUUUGUUGUCCGACUCUGUUGCCUCCGGGGCGACCCUGCCUUCGGGCGGGGGCUCCGGGUGGACACUUCAAACUCUUGCGUAACUUUGCAGUCUGAGUAAACUUAAUUAAUAAAUUAAAACUUUUAACAACGGAUCUCUUGGUUCUGGCAUCGAUGAAGAACGCAGCGAAAUGCGAUAAGUAAUGUGAAUUGCAGAAUUCAGUGAAUCAUCGAAUCUUUGAACGCACAUUGCGCCCCCUGGUAUUCCGGGGGGCAUGCCUGUUCGAGCGUCAUUAUCACCCCUCAAGCUCAGCUUGGUGUUGGGGCCUGCCCGUCACAGGGCAGCCCUUAAAAGCAGUGGCGGUGCCAUCUGGCUCUACGCGUAGUAAUACUCCUCGCGACAGAGUCCCGGUGGUGUCCUGCCAGAACCCCCCAUAUUUUUAAUGAUUGACCUCGGAUCAGGUAGGGAUACCCGCUGAACUUAAGCAUAUCAAUAAGCGGAGGAAAAGAAACCAACAGGGAUUGCCUCAGUAACGGCGAGUGAAGCGGCAAAAGCUCAAAUUUGAAAUCUGGCUCUUUCAGGGUCCGAGUUGUAAUUUGUAGAAGAUGCUUUGGGUGUGGCUCUGGUUUAAGUUCUUUGGAAUAUUACAUCAUAGAGGGUGAGAAUCCCGUAUGUGACCAGUCGCCGCGCCCGUGUAAAGCUCUUUCAACGAGUCGAGUUGUUUGGGAAU
rnacentral:sRNA from 1 species